rnacentral:rRNA from 1 species
GACGAACGCUGGCGGCGUGCCUAACACAUGCAAGUCGAACGGGACCGGGGGCAACUUCGGUUCAGUGGCGGACGGGUGCGUAACACGUGAGGAACAUGACCUUCGGCGGGGGAUAGCCGGCCCAACGGCCGGGUAAUACCGCGUACGACCAUUGGGGGACAUCCUUCGAUGGUGAAAGCAGCAAUGCGCCGAGGGAGUGCCUCGCGGCCUAUCAGCUAGUUGGUGGGGUAACGGCCUACCAAGGCGACGACGGGUAGCUGGUCUGAGAGGAUGGCCAGCCACAUUGGGACUGAGACACGGCCCAGACUCCUACGGGAGGCAGCAGUGGGGAAUAUUGCGCAAUGGACGAAAGUCUGACGCAGCGACGCCGCGUGUGGGAUGACGGUCUUCGGAUUGUAAACCACUGUCGGGAGGGACGAAUACGCCGCAAGGCGGGUGACGGUACCUCCAAAGGAAGCACCGGCUAACUCCGUGCCAGCAGCCGCCGUAACAC